CCUACGGGAGGCAGCAGUGGGGAACGAUGGACAAUGGGGGCAACCCUGAUCCAGCAAUGCCGCGUGAGUGAUGAAGUGUCCAGGGUUGUCGAUGCUCUUUUAUGUCCGGGAUGAUAAUUAACUAGCUGUCCGGGUUCGAUGGAAUUUGGGUGGCGCAGCUAACGCAUUAAGUUAUCCGCCUGGGGAGUACGGUCGCAAGAUUAAACGAUAAAGGAAUUGACGGGGGCCUGCAGGAGGGAGCUAGCGUUGCGAUUACUGGGCGUAAAGCGCACGUAGGCGGUUACUCAAGUCAGAGGUGAAAGCCCGCGAUGGCUCAACCCCGCGAUACUGCCUUUGAAACUAGGUAACUCAAGCGGUGGAGCAUGUGGUUUAACGAUAGCAACGCGCAGAACCUUACCAGCGUUUGACAUCCUCAUCGCGGAUCGUCGAUACACUUUCCUUCAGUUUGGCUGCGAUAGUGACAGGUGCUGCAUGGCUGUCGUCAGCUCCGAUUCGUGAGAUGUUGGGUUAAGUCCCGCAACGAGCGCAACCC
rnacentral:rRNA from 1 species